rnacentral:rRNA from 1 species
CCUACGGGUGGCAGCAGUGAGGAAUAUUGGUCAAUGGGCGAGAGCCUGAACCAGCCAAGUCGCGUGAGGGAGUACUGCCCUAUGGGUUGUAAACCUCUUUUGUAGGGGAGCAAAAGCCGGACGUGUCCGGCUGUGAGAGUACCCGAAGAAAAAGCAUCGGCUAACUCCGUGCCAGCCGCCGGGGUAAUACGGAGGAGGCGGGCGUUAACCGGGUUUAUUGGGGUUAAAGGGUGCGUAGGCGGAUGUUUAAGUCAGCGGUAAAAUCGGGGGGCUCAACCCCGUCCAGCCGUUGAAACUGGGGGUCUUGAGUGUGCAAGAGGUAGGCGGAAUGCGUGGUGUAGCGGUGAAAUGCAUAGAUAUCACGCAGAACCCCGAUUGCGAAGGCAGCCUGCCGGGGCACGACUGACGCUGAGGCACGAAGGCGUGGGUAUCGAACAGGAUUAGAUACCCUAGUAGUC